CCCUUAGAUGUUCUGGGCUGCACGCGCGCUACACUGACGCACGCAACAGGUGCCUGCUCCGAGAGGACUGGGUAAUCAUUUGAGUGUGCGUCGUGAUGGGGAUAGAAUAUUGUAAUUAUUACUCUUCAACGAGGAAUUCCUAGUAAGCGCCAGUCAGCAGCUUGCGCUGAUUACGUCCCUGCCCUUUGUACACACCGCCCGUCGCUCCUACCGAUGGGUGAUCCGGUGAAUGAUUCGGACUUCAGCGGCUCCCCUGGGGUGCGCCGGAGAAAGUUUUGUGAACCUUAUCACUUGGAGGAAGGAGAAGUCGUACA
rnacentral:rRNA from 1 species